rnacentral:rRNA from 1 species
AACGUAGGAGGCGAGCGUUAUCCGGAUUUACUGGGUGUAAAGCGCGUGCAGGCGGUCGGCUAAGUUGGGUGUGAAAGCUCCUGGCUCAACUGGGAGAGGUCGCUCAAGACUGGCCGACUGGAGAGCAGUAAGGGAAGGUGGAAUUCCGGGUGUAGUGGUGAAAUGCGUAGAUAUCCGGAGGAACACCAGUGGCGAAGGCGGCCUUCUGGACUGCUUCUGACGCUCAGACGCGAAAGCUAGGGGAGCAAACGGG